rnacentral:rRNA from 1 species
UACGGAGGGUCCGAACGUUAUCCGGAAUCACUGGGCGUAAAGAGCAUGUAGGUGGCUUAUUAAGUGAAUGAUUAAAGACCGAAGCUCAACUUCGGGAAUGUUGUUCAAACUGAUUUGCUUGAGAGAGGCAGGGGUAAGCGGAACUUUAGGUGUAGGAGUGAAAUCCGUAGAUAUCUAAAGGAACACCAAUGGCGAAGGCACUCUACUGGGCCACAACUGACACUGAGAGACGAAAGCUAGGGGAGCAAAUGGG